UGUCUAAGUACAAGCGAAAAUAAAGUGAAACCGCAAAAGGCUCAUUAUAUCAGUUAUGGUUCCUUAGAUCGUAUCCACAAUUACUUGGAUAACUGUGGUAAUUCUAGAGCUAAUACAUGCAAUUAAAGAGAAACCAGUAAAAUGGGAUCUCUGCUUUUAUUAGAUUUAAACCAAUGGGGAUUGCUUCACGGCUUUCUCAAAAAAAAUGGUUGAACUCUGGAUAACUUGUUGAUCGCAUGGUCUUGUACCGGCGACGGAUCUUUCAAAUGUCUGCCCUAUCAACUAUUGAAGGUAGUGUAUUGGACUACCUUGGUUGCAACGGGUAACGGGGGAUCAGGGUUCGAUUCCGGAGAGGGAGCCUGAGAAACGGCUACCACAUCUAAGGAAGGCAGCAGGCGCGUAAAUUACCCACUCCCGGCACGGGGAGGUAGUGACGAAAAAUAACAAUACAAGACUCACAUCCGAGGCCUUGUAAUUGGAAUGAGUACACUUUAAAUCCUUUAACAAGGAUCAAUUGGAAGGCAAGUCUGGUGCCAGCAGCUGCGGUAACUCCAGCUCCAAUAGCGUAUAUUAAAGUUGUUGCGGUUAAAACGUUCGUAGUUGAACUUGUGUUUCGCACGGGCAAUACCUAGGACUAGGUAACUAGGACGGUACUUGUCUUAUCUUUCCUAAUUCUUAAUCAGAAUUUGGAAAAAGUGCGUGAACGUAUUAUCGGCGUGUUCAUUUGCGGCUCGCAUAAUAUAUAUUUCCGAAUGGGCUUAUAUUUAUGUGUUGCUUAAUGUUCACAUAAGCCCAUUUCAGUGCUCUUUACCGAGUGUUGUUGUGGGCCGAUACAAAUUACUUUGAACAAAUUAGAGUGCUUAAAGCGGGCUUGUGAUGCCUGAAUAUUUUGUGCAUGGAAUAAUGAAAUAGGACAUCUGUUCUACUUUCAUUGGUUUUUUAGACCAAGAUGUAAUGAUUAAUGGAAGCAGUUGGGGGCAUUAGUAUUACAACGCGAGAGGUGAAAUUCUUAGACCGUUGUAAGACUGACUAAAGCGAAAGCAUUUGCCAAAGAUGUUUUCAUUAAAUCA
rnacentral:rRNA from 1 species